UGGGGAAUAUUGGACAAUGGGCGCAAGCCUGAUCCAGCCAUGCCGCGUGAGUGAUGAAGGCCCUAGGGUUGUAAAGCUCUUUCACCGGUGAAGAUAAUGACGGUAACCGGAGAAGAAGCCCCGGCUAACUUCGUGCCAGCAGCCGCGGUAAUACGAAGGGGGCUAGCGUUGUUCGGAUUUACUGGGCGUAAAGCGCACGUAGGCGGACUAUUAAGUCAGGGGUGAAAUCCCGGGGCUCAACCCCGGAACUGCCUUUGAUACUGGUAGUAUUGAGUUCGAGAGAGGUGAGUGGAAUUCCGAGUGUAGAGGUGAAAUUCGUAGAUAUUCGGAGGAACACCAGUGGCGAAGGCGGCUCACUGGCUCGAUACUGACGCUGAGGUGCGAAAGCGUGGGGAGCAAAAAGG
rnacentral:rRNA from 1 species